rnacentral:tRNA from 1 species
GGGCAGGUGGUGGAACAGGUAUACACGAGGGCCUUAAAAGCCCUUGGUCGCAAGGCUGUGAGGGUUCAACUCCCUCCCUGCCCA